AAAAGCAUAUUCUUAAAUGAAGAAGAACAUUAACUAUUAAGAAGGACCAAUUUGCAUGUGGGGCUACUACACACAUUAAACUUGUAGACUUACUGCCUUUCAUAUAUAAGCUCAAUCAAACUCUGACAACCCUCCAAGAGUAAAAGAGCAAGAGAGCAUCUAUCAUUUAUGAUCAUGAAUGAUCAUUGAUCGUAGAGAACAUCAAACAAUACAAUAUUUGGAGAAUGUUUUUCGCAUAUUUACGCAGUUAUAGAUCUCAACCAUCCAAUCUGAUCGACAAUUUAUUAUAUUCUAAGAUAUAUGUAAAAGUAUAUUUUGUAAUGUAAGUAAAACUAUCUUUAGUUAACUUAGAAUGUGAAUCAUCUUAUAGAAAUCGAUGGGAUAGAUAUAUUGAUUUCACAUUUCAAUAACUAGAAGAAUUCAAAUUCAUAUUGGAGUAGCAACUAUGUGCACAUCUCCUUUUAUGUGCACACAUCUCCUUAUUUGAACGAAUAAAUAUCGUUUUAUUUUUGUCAACAAAAAAAUAUUUAAAUGAAAGAGUAAAAUUAAAAAGAAAAAAUGCAUUUCAAAAGAAAUCUAUUCUUUUUAUAUAUUGUUAUAGAUUAGUUCAAUUUUUUUUUUUCAGUUUUAAUAAAACAAAGAAUAAACUUCUGUAAAAAAAAAAAAAAAAACAAGAAUAUACUUCUCUCUAUUUUUUAUUAUUAUUUAUGAGGAUUUCCUCACGGGCAUAAUAUAUUUUCACUAUGCGAAAUCCAUUUGAUUAAAUCCACUAAUUAUAUAUGUCUUAUUCAACUUUUUUUAUUUUUUUUGACAAAUGUCUUAUUCAACUUUUUAAACAGUUUAGUCACAUGCCCUUAAAAAAAAAUAUAUAGUUUAGUCACAAAAAACACUUUUUAAAAUAUUCAUAAAUAAACUUUUAUAUUUGAACCACAGUUCUGUUCAACACCACCUUUUCAACUAAGUGAGUUAGUGUACUAAAGAAAUUGUGUUCAUUCAUAGUGAAAAGAACAUAAUAUCUAUAAAUAUGUUUUUGUUUUUGUUUUGGUCCCCUAUGGAGUAGGUACAAUUUAAAGUUGAAACACAAUCCAAUGUGGAUCUAACAAAGUUAUUGGAAUUUUAUGUCUCCCACAUCAAUACUACUAGUAUUUUGUUAUAUAAGUUCUUACAAUGCUUAUCCAAAAGAAGAAGAAAAAAAAACUCUCAUAACAAUAUACAUAAAUUAUUUAUUGAAUGAAUUUAAAAAGUUGAUUUUUGCUUAUAAUAAUGAUCGAAAGGGAGUAUAUCAUAAGCAUGGUAAAUAAUUCAGAAUUUAACUAACUAUAACUACACAUUCCAUAAAUUCCAAUUCAUGAUUAUUUUCCUAUCUUUCUUUCUUCGAGCAGCUAUUCUUGGUUAUAACUUAAACUUUCACCCCAUUGGCUGUUUUGAUUUCCCAGACUUUUAAGUCUUCAACUUCAAUCAUUCAUAUAAAAAAGCAC
rnacentral:lncRNA from 1 species